AACCUAAUUAUUAAUGGCUUCAAGAAUCCCCAACAAGUAUAUAACUAAAAUAAGACCUCUACAUUGUAAUCUUGUUUAAAUUAAUUCUCUAAAAUCAAAUUAAGAGACUACUUCUAACAGCACUGGACCUCACCCAAAAAGGCUAGCCAGAAAAUAUUAUUUGGAUUUCUUGACUCUGUAUAAGUAUUCAAGAUCUACCCAGUGAAUAGCUGAUAUAGGACUAAACAUACGUUCGUACGGUUUCUUAUAUACUUCCCUCGUCUAAGCGCUGGCGUUUUUGCUAGGUUAAGGAUUCAAAUCCAUUCAAAUUUAAUCACAAGCACCAUGAUCGACCCGUGGUCAGUCUUAAUGGGCCUGUGUUGCAGUGGUCCCUACAUAUAGGCCAUGGGCUCGGGUUCACUUUGAGAUCAUUUGUAACAAUAUAGGAUCUUGCCCAAAAAGGCUCGCUAGAAUAUAUUAUUUGAGUUCCUUUGCAGUGUAUAAGUACCCAAGAUCUACGUAGUGCAUAGUCGAUGUGGGUCUAAACACACCUACAUGGAUCUUCACACUACCUUAAGAAGGAAGCAGUAUUGGCUUCGUCCAGGUUUCUCUAUUGUCGUGCAUAACUUGAGUCAUCCAGUAUUGCUGAUGCUUCGAUAUGCUCCAUUGUUGCUUCUUACCUUGGAUACGGACUCAAAUAAUGAUUGUACAGAUUGUGUUGCAGGAUUUGUGCCGUUGACUAUAUCGGUCUCAACACCUGCUAGUUGGUCUUUGGGUUUCAUGGCAAGCUGCUUUUCUUUACUUAAUUUGUACUUGCUAAAAGUUUGGCGGUGCUUCUUAGAUGGUUGCUGACCAUGUUGAUCUAUCAUUCACAAGAAAACCUGGUUCAGGUUAGUGUAAAACCCGAAAAUUUCAAUCAACUGUUUGAAUAGCUGACUAUAGCGCCCCAACUUUUGAAAGUGUCUGAGUGAACAGCCAUGCCUUGCAUGGUUCAAUAUAGGAAAUUGGAGAUUUAUAAGUUAAAAUGAAACAAAAUCCUCCUUAUCCAACUUGAUCUCCUCAUUGGUUGCCCUAUCAUUCUUUUGUCUUGCUCCCCCUUUCUCCCACCUUUCCUGCAUGUGAUUCCAGGGUUUCCUUGCACCCUACUGAAUCUCAUUUUCACUUCUCUAGUUUUCAGUUUUCCAGUUUAGGUUUUUAAGGUCUCUAUCUACUUUUCAGUUCCCUAGUUUAGGUUUCUAAGUUCUUCCAAUACUCAAAUGUAGGGUUAAUCCUAAUGGGAUUAUUAAUGGGAUUGUUGUUGUUUUUGUUGUUUUUAUUUCUAUCUUCUGUGUCAAGACUUGAUCUCCUGACAGGGUUUCUGACUUUGUUUGGGUCCUUUUGGUCUAGCAAGGGCUUCCUUUCUUCUUAUAUCAUUUUUUCUCUGAUAUGCUCUCUUGGUUCUCUACUGCCCGAGAGAACCAUUGCUGAUGAUUGAAAGCCCCCGAAGCUUGAGGCCUGUCCUAUUGACAAUGAAGUUUGGGCUGGCCAUCGGUGAUCUUCCUUAGCGGUGAAGGUGGAGCAUGGAACCUUGGUUAGAUCAGGGUAGAGGAGAAAUUUUGGCAUAGGAUGGAGUGGAGGAGAUUUUAGGUUAGGAUGGGCUGGCAACCAGUUGAACUGCAGACAACCUGUCGUUGAAUUGUUGACAUGUGACCUGGACACAAAACAUGUUAGUGUCCAGGCCAGAUUUCAAAAAAUGUGCUUAACCAUUUUGUUCAAUGUGGGCUACCUAUUUUCCACCACCUUUCCUGCAUGUGAUUCCAGGGUGUCCUUGCACCCUACUGAAUCUCAUUUUCACUUCUCUAGUUUUUACUUGCCUAGUUUAGGUUUUUAAGUUCCCCAGUUUAGGUUUUUAAGUUCUUCCAACACUCAAAUGUAAGGUUAAUCCUAAUAGGAUUAUUAAUGUGAUUGUUGUUGUUGUUAUUAUUUUUAUUUCUAUCUUCUGUGUCAAGAUUUGAUCACCUGGCAGGGUUUUUAACUCUGUUUGGGUCCUUUUGGGCUAGCUAGGGCUUCCUUUCUUCUUAUAUUAUUCUUUCUCUGAUAUGCUCUCUUGGUUCUUUGCUGUCUGAGAGAACCAUUGCUGAUGAUUGAAAGCCCCUGAAGCUUGAGGUCUGUCUUAUUGACAACGAAGUUUGGGCUGGCCAUCAGUGAUCUUCUUUAGCGGUGAAGGUGGAGCAUGGAACCUUGGUUAGAUCAGGGUAGAGGAGAAAUUUUGGCAUAGGAUGGAGUGGAGGAGAUUUUAGGUUAGGAUGGGCUGGCAACCAGUUGAACUGUAGACAACUUGUCGUUGAAUUGUUGACCUGUGACCUGGACACAAAAUGGGUUAGUGUUCAUGCUGGAUUUUUAAAAAUGUGCUUAACCAUUUUGUUCAAAGUGGGCUGCCUAUUUUGGUGAGAGAAGGAUUCAUGAUGUUGCUAUCAGAUUCACACAUAUACAGACAUGUACAUGCUUGCAUAUGCAUACGUCAUGUAUGCCCUUCUGCAUCAUUUUAUCUUUGCAUUAUCUGUUCUUGAGCUUGAUUUCUUUAGAUAACGUUUGCAUAUUGCUGAUGUUAAUCGAGGCCUCUUAUUUGACUCUGACUAUCACUUUCAUCAAUUUUGGCUGUAAUAUUU